CAUACCUAUUCGAAGGGAUAGGGUCGGUUUGGCCGGAUUUCACACAGGUGUUGCAUGGCUGUCGUCAGCUCGUGUCGUGAGAUGUUGGGUUAAGUCCCGCAACGAGCGCAACCCUCAUCCUUAGUUACCAUCAGGUUAUGCUGGGGACUUUAAGGAAACUGCCAGUGAUAAACUGGAGGAAGGUGGGGAUGAUGUCAAGUCAUCAUGGCCCUUAUGGAGUGGGCUACACACGUGCUACAAUGGUGUCUACAAUGGGUUGCAAGGUGCGCAAGCCUAAGCUAAUCCCUAAAAGACAUCUCAGUUCGGAUUGUACUCUGCAACUCGAGUACAUGAAGUUGGAAUCGCUAGUAAUCGUGGAUCGGCAUGCCACGGUGAAUACGUUCUCGGGUCUUGUACACACUGCCCGUCACGCCAUGGGAAUUGGUUUCACUCGAAGCU
rnacentral:rRNA from 1 species